rnacentral:siRNA from 1 species
UGUGUCAUUCAUUUGGAGAGAGU